rnacentral:tRNA from 1 species
UGAUGCGUAGUGUAACGGUUAGCACCUCAGCCCUUGGAACUGAUAGUGUGGGUUCAAAUCCCUCCGCAUCAA